CCUACGGGAGGCAGCAGUGGGGGAUAUUGCUCAAUGGGGGGAACCCUGAAGCAGCGACGCCGCGUGGAUGAUGAAGCGUUUCGGCGUGUAAAGCCCUGUUAGUAGGGAAGAUAAUGACGGUACCUGACGAAUAAGCCCCGGCUAACUACGUGCCAGCAGCCGCGGUAAUACGGAGGGGGCAAGCGUUAUCCGGAUUCACUGGGAGUAAAGGGGGCGUAGGCGGGGAUGUAAGCCAGAGGUGAAAGCCCGUGGCUUAACUACAGUACUGCAUUUGAAACUGCGUCGCUGGAGUGCAGGAGAGGUAGGCGGAAUGCGUGGUGUAGCGGUGAAAUGCGUAGAUAUCAAGAGGAACACCGAUUGCGAAGGCGGCCUGCUGGACUACUACUGACGCUGAUGCACGAAAGCGUGGGGAGCAAACAGGAUUAGAUACCCCAGUAGUC
rnacentral:rRNA from 1 species